UACAGAGGUCUCAAGCGUUGUUCGGAUUCAUUGGGCGUAAAGGGUGCGUAGGCGGCGCGGUAAGUCGGGUGUGAAAUCUCGGAGCUUAACUCCGAAACUGCAUUCGAUACUGCCGUGCUUGAGGACUGGAGAGGAGACUGGAAUUUACGGUGUAGCGGUGAAAUGCGUAGAUAUCGUAAGGAAGACCAGUGGCGAAGGCGGGUCUCUGGACAGUUCCUGACGCUCAGGCGCGAAAGCUAGGGGAGCGAACUGG
rnacentral:rRNA from 1 species